UCCAGUGUGGUGUAGUGGUUUGAGCGUCGGACUAUGACUCUGAAGAUCAGGGUUUGAAUCCUUCUCAGUCA